rnacentral:rRNA from 1 species
AUGUCCCUUUUCUUCUUUGGGGAUGUAGGAAGAGGAGAGAAAGAAGUCGUGUUGCAAUGGUGUUCAAAUCUGGCUAUGUCUUUUGCCUAUAUAUACGACAUUAUGGACAAGAAGAAUCUCAUCGACGAUGGAGUGCUGUGCUUCUUCUAUGUCCCCAGCCAUCUGCAGCAGGUAGCAUCUCUGCAAGUGAGGUUACAACUUACAAGGCAACUGUGCCUCCAUUAUCGGGGGCAAGCUCAUCUGCACGGGCGUUUAGACCUGGAUCAUGAGGCCGGUGAGCUGUACUCCCUCCGUCCCAUAAUAUUUGAACGUUUUUGA